AGUCUCCCUAUGCUUACCACAGGCAGCGCAGCUCCAGCGCUGACUGUAUAGAAAGGGGAGAUACAGAAUCAGGGCCCUACAAACACCCCAGCCAGGCUGCCCCUCUUGCCUGGGCUGUAUUGUUAGUAAGGGCACAAGA